AUAUUUCUCCAGCUUUCCUGCUUCUCUCUUUCUGCUAAGGGAUAAGUAAGUCUCAGAUGGGGACGGUUCCUCUGACCUGGACUCCAGAAGACAAGAAGUGAAGCCACGGCCAGUACUCCACUGACGAGCAGAGAAGGAGACAGACUCUCUGGGUCUAAGAACUACGGGCCCCAGGAGAAUUUUCAGUCAACGUGGAAAUGCCAAGGAGGAUGAGGAGGUCUUUCCGAGAUUCAACAGGGUCUUCAUGAAAUCUCUGAAAUAUCUGUAUUGUGUUGGUCCCCCAAGUUUCUUUUGUGAAGAUGGGAGCAACAUGUGAUAUUCCCACUUCCUCUUUUUAAAACCAUCACUGGGCUGUCAUUUCAGCAACAUCUUAACAAAUGAAAAUCCUCCUCUGAGUCAAUAGUAAUUAUAGGAAUUUAUCACAAUUGCCAAUCAAGGUGUUCUGAAGAGACUCAUCUUUCUUGUUAAAUUAGCUUUCACUGCACGCAAACAGUGAGUUAUCUUUAG
rnacentral:lncRNA from 1 species